GAGCUGGUUGGAGGUUUAAGUUGGUGUGGAGCCUGUUUGUUCUGUUCUUUUUCCCUCUUUGUCCUCAGCAGUCUUAUACUGUUGGGUUUUGUUAUUUUAGUUUGGGGUUGGUGGUCUUGGUUUGUUUUCUUGAGGUAGUUUUGUUGCUAUGGUCCCAUUUUUGGUUUUCCCCCUAGACUCCAGCCAGGUCUGCCCGUUGGGUCUGCAACACAGAGCCAGAAUGUCCAGAUAUUUGGAGGUGUGUUUCGUUUGGUUGGCCGGUGAGUUAAUCAAUCGUCUUUCCCGCUUCUGCUUUUUUUCUUUUCAAUCCUGCAGAAUCCAUAAGUGGGGGGACUCUGAGAUUGUGUGUGGGUUCUGAGCCCUGAUGUCAGUGUGUUUGGUUGCUGUGAUCACCAUGUUCUGUGUUUGGACACGAUUUUUACAGUAUAUCGACGCCGUCACCUCUCAGGAAAACCUUCACGCUCAAACACAGAUCGUUACAGAGGAACCAUCCAGCAUGGAUUAUUUCUUUGAGCAGUUUAUCGGGUAUCCCUUAAAGAUGCAACACAACUCCAGACCAUCACACUACCACCACCAUCGGUGCGUCUGCUUCAGGGACAGAUCUCACCAGGAGUUGGAACGACGAGCAGAACACCCUCUCAGUCUUCAGCAGUCACUGUGCAGAUACUCUACUGCUCGUGUUUGUGUCUAGACAGAGAAGACUCCGUCCUUUGAAGGACACAAAUUGUUGGGAGUGCCAACAACAAUUAUUAUAUUGAUCAUGGAGAAAAAAUGGAUAAUAGUGUUUUUGUCCUGACUAGAAUUCUGUGACGCCAAAUCUUUCAUUUAUUGGUACGACGGAGUGUUAGGGCCUCUUUAUA